rnacentral:rRNA from 1 species
AACAGAGGGUGCGAGCGUUAAUCGAAAUUACUGGGCGUAAAGGGUGCGUAGGCGGAUGUUUAAGUUAGAUGUGAAAGCCCUGGGCUUAACCUAGGAAUGGCGUUUAAUACUGAGCAUCUAGAGUAUAGGAGAGGAGAGUGGAAUUUCCGGUGUAGCGGUGAAAUGCGUAGAUAUCGGAAGGAACAUCGGUGGCGAAGGCGGCUCUCUGGACUGAUACUGACGCUGAGGCACGAAAGCGUGGGGAUCAAACAGG